CAGCAGCCGCGGUAAUACGUAGGGUGCGAGCGUUAAUCGGAAUUACUGGGCGUAAAGCGUGCGCAGGCGGUUUGUUAAGACAGAUGUGAAAUCCCCGGGCUCAACCUGGGAACUGCAUUUGUGACUGGCAAGCUAGAGUGUGGCAGAGGGGGGUGGAAUUCCGCGUGUAGCAGUGAAAUGCGUAGAUAUGCGGAGGAACACCGAUGGCGAGGGCAGCCCCCUGGGCCAACACUGACGCUCAUGCACGAAAGCGUGGGGAGCAAACAGGAUUAGAUACCCGUGUAGUCCCUGUCUCUUAUAC
rnacentral:rRNA from 1 species